UAUAUGAACCUAUGAGUAUUGAACUAUGUGUUGAGACAAUAAUAGGAGGUAUGAUCAAUACUCACACUAUAUGCAAAUCCUGUAAACUUAAAAUAGAGAAUAAAAAGUUGCUUGUUGAUUAGAUAUGUAGGAUUUCGAUGUGAUAUUAGAAUAGAUUGGCUCACUACUUAUCAUGCCUCAGUUGACUGUCAUAAGAGAUAUGUGAGUUUCAAGAUUUUCGGUGAACCAUAAUUUAGUUUUAUGGGAAGCAUAGGAGUUGCUACUCCAUGUAUCAUCUCAACUUUGCAGGCC
rnacentral:lncRNA from 1 species